GGUUUCGUAGCUCAGUUGGAUUAGAGCAACAGCCUUCUAAGCUGUGGGUCCUGGGUUCGAAUCCCAGCGAAAUCACCG
rnacentral:tRNA from 2 species